GCCCACGUGGCUCAGUCGGUAGAGCGUCACCUUGGUAAGGUGGAGGUCGUCAGUUCGAUUCUGAUCGUGGGCUCCA
rnacentral:tRNA from 1 species